AAGUGGUGUAGCACAAUCGAAUACGGAUACAGGCGUUACCGUGCUAUCCUCUAGAAGGAUGUCUGUCGACAUUCCAAUUCCAAUGAGAGAAGUAGAAAAGUAUGACGCAGGGAACUGUGAAGUGGUUCAACAGCGACAAGGGCUUCGGUUUUAUCGCGCCGGAUGGCGGAGCGGAUGACGUGUUCGUCCACUUCAGCGAGAUCCAAGGCAGCGGGUACAAGUCGCUCGAGGAGAACCAGCGAGUCGAAUUCACCGUCGAGCAGGGGGCCAAGGGCCCGCAGGCAGUCGGUGUGACCGCCGUAUAACGAGAUCUUCGUGUGUGGGCUGGUGGGAAUCUCCACCAGCCCACAU
rnacentral:other from 1 species